UAUGUUUAACGGCCGCGGUAUCUUAACCGUGCGAAGGUAGCGCAAUCACUUGUCUUUUAAAUGGAGACCUGUAUGAAUGGCAUAACGAGGGCUUGACUGUCUCCUUUCUCAAGUCAAUGAAAUUGAUCUCCCCGUGCAGAAGCGGGGAUUAACACAUAAGACGAGAAGACCCUAUGGAGCUUUAGACACAAGACAGAUUAUCUUAAUCAACCCAAAAUAAAGGGCGGAACUAGAGAUAAACCUUUCCAGCGUCUUUGGUUGGGGCGACCGUGGGGUAAAACAAAACCCCCAUGAGGAAUAGGAGCACCCCUCCUUCAACCUAGAGCUCCCGCUCUAAGGAACAGAAAUUCUGACCAAUUAAUGAUCCGGCAUUGCCGAUCAACGAACCGAGUUACCCUAGGGAUAACAGCGCAAUCCCCUUUUAGAGCCCAUAUCGACAAGGGGGUUUACGACCUCGAUGUUGGAUCAGGACAUCCUAAUGGUGCAGCCGCUAUUAAGGGUUCGUUU
rnacentral:rRNA from 1 species